rnacentral:rRNA from 1 species
UAGGGAAUCUUCGGCAAUGGGGGCAACCCUGACCGAGCAACGCCGCGUGAGUGAAGAAGGUUUUCGGAUCGUAAAGCCCUGUUGUAAGUCAAGAACGAGUGUGAGAGUGGAAAGUUCACACUGUGACGGUAGCUUACCAGAAAGGGACGGCUAACUACGUGCCAGCAGCCGCGGUAAUACGUAGGUCCCGAGCGUUGUCCGGAUUUAUUGGGCGUAAAGCGAGCGCAGGCGGUUUGAUAAGUCUGAAGUUAAAGGCUGUGGCUCAACCAUAGUUCGCUUUGGAAACUGUCAAACUUGAGUGUAGAAGGGGAGAGUGGAAUUCCAUGUGUAGCGGUGAAAUGCGUAGAUAUAUGGAGGAACACCGGUGGCGAAAGCGGCUCUCUGGUCUGUAACUGACGCUGAGGCUCGAAAGCGUGGGGAGCGAACAGGAUUAGAUACCCUGGUAGUCCACGCCGUAAACGAUGAGUGCUAGGUGUUGGAUCCUUUCCGGGAUUCAGUGCCGCAGCUAACGCAUUAAGCACUCCGCCUGGGGAGUACGACCGCAAGGUUG